AUACGGAGGGUGCAAGCGUUAAUCGGAAUUACUGGGCGUAAAGCGCACGCAGGCGGUUUGUUAAGUCACAUGUGAAAGCCCCGGGCUCAACCUGGGAACUGCAUCUGAUACUGGUCAGCUUGAGUCUCGUAGAGGGGGGUAGAAUUUCUGGUGUAUCGGUUAAAUGCGUAGAGAUCUGGAGGAAUACCGGUGGCGAAGGCGGCCCCCUGGACGAAGACUGACGCUCAGGUGCGAAAGCGUGGGGAGCAAACAGGAUUAGAUACCCUGGUAGUCCACGCCGUAAACGAUGUCGACUUGGAGGUUGUGCCCUUGAGGCGUGGCUUCCGGAGCUAACGCGUUAAGUCGACCGCCUGGGGAGUACGGCCGCAAGGUUAAAACUCAAAUGAAUUGACGGGG
rnacentral:rRNA from 1 species